CGCGAUAGUCGGAAACCCAAAUUAAAAAUUAGACACGAGAUCCCUAUUUCCCCAAUUUCUUUCACAAUCUCUCUCUCUAUAUAUAUAUAUAUCUUUUUCCUCUCUACUUUCUCUUUCACUGACCAAUCGACUGACGGGGCAAACAGUGGUUGAAGACGGCGGCAAACGGUGGUUGACGACGGCAAGCAUCAGUGCAAAGAUCUGUGAAAUCCCCUCUUCUCGGAUCUGAGGCAGGCGCAUCUAGUUAUCCAUCAGGCGCGCAUGCUUGAUCCCCCAACUUGAGACUUCACGUAAAGAGAUUUAACAGUUUCAAGAGGCGGCUCGGCUUACUGUACAAUCAUGGAGAAUACUACCAUAUCAAGCAUAGUAAAGGCAUCUAUGGAGAAUAUGAUCCUUCGGUCCUUACUCGUAGAUCAAAUCAACACGAUUUUGAGGAAGGAACAUACCGGGCAAACAGGGAGGAAGAUCCCGCCGAUGAACAUGAAACAAGCGAGGAAGAAUCAUUGGAUGAACAUGAAACAAGCGAUGAGGAAGAAUUACUUGAUGAAAAUGAAACAAGCGAUGAAGAAGAACUAAAUGAUGAAUAUCAAUCAAGCGAAGAGGAUUGACAUGUUGGCUUUUAUGUGUUUUCGUUAUUUAUUUAUUAAGCUGAAGAAUUUUUUUACAUUUUUUUUAUGUCUUAACAUAUUUCAUCUAAUGUUUUUAAUAUACUUAUGUUACA